rnacentral:rRNA from 1 species
AGGACGAACGCUGGCGGCGUGCUUAACACAUGCAAGUCGAGCGGAAAGGCCCUUCGGGGUACUCGAGCGGCGAACGGGUGAGUAACACGUGAGCAACCUGCCCUUAGCUCCGGGAUAGCUCCGGGAAACCGGAAUUAAUACCGGAUACGACCACGGCCGACAUCUGCUGUAGGUGGAAAGGAUUCCGGCUAAGGAUGGGCUCGCGGCCUAUCAGCUAGUUGGUGGAGUAACGGCCCACCAAGGCGACGAC